GUUUCUGUAGUGUAGUGGUUAUCACGUUUGCCAAACACGCGAAAGGCCCCCGGUUCGAAACCGGGCAGACACU
rnacentral:tRNA from 1 species